rnacentral:rRNA from 1 species
UCGAACGCUGGCGGCGUGCUUAACACAUGCAAGUCGAACGGAAAGGCCCUUCGGGGUACUCGAGUGGCGAACGGGUGAGUAACACGUGGGUGAUCUGCCCUGCACUUUGGGAUAAGCCUGGGAAACUGGGUCUAAUACCGAAUAUGACCGCGCGUUUCAUGGCGUGUGGUGGAAAGCUUUUGCGGUGUGGGAUGGGCCCGCGGCCUAUCAGCUUGUUGGUGGGGUAAUGGCCUACCAAGGCGACGACGGGUAGCCGGCCUGAGAGGGUGUCCGGCCACACUGGGACUGAGAUACGGCCCAGACUCCUACGGGAGGCAGCAGUGGGGAAUAUUGCACAAUGGGCGCAAGCCUGAUGCAGCGACGCCGCGUGAGGGAUGACGGCCUUCGGGUUGUAAACCUCUUUCGCCAGGGACGAAGCGCAAGUGACGGUACCUGGAGAAGAAGCACCGGCCAACUACGUGCCAGCAGCCGCGGUAAUACGUAGGGUGCGAGCGUUGUCCGGAAUUACUGGGCGUAAAGAGCUCGUAGGUGGUUUGUCGCGUUGUUCGUGAAAACUCACAGCUUAACUGUGGGCGUGCGGGCGAUACGGGCAGACUGGAGUACUGCAGGGGAGACUGGAAUUCCUGGUGUAGCGGUGGAAUGCGCAGAUAUCAGGAGGAACACCGGUGGCGAAGGCGGGUCUCUGGGCAGUAACUGACGCUGAGGAGCGAAAGCGUGGGGAGCGAACAGGAUUAGAUACCCUGGUAGUCCACGCCGUAAACGGUGGGUACUAGGUGUGGGUUUCCUUCCUUGGGAUCCGUGCCGUAGCUAACGCAUUAAGUACCCCGCCUGGGGAGUACGGCCGCAAGGCA